UGGGGAAUAUUGGACAAUGGGCGAAAGCCUGAUCCAGCCAUGCCGCGUGUGUGAAGAAGGUCUUCGGAUUGUAAAGCACUUUAAGUUGGGAGGAAGGGCAGUAAAUUAAUACUUUGCUGUUUUGACGUUACCGACAGAAUAAGCACCGGCUAACUCUGUGCCAGCAGCCGCGGUAAUACAGAGGGUGCAAGCGUUAAUCGGAAUUACUGGGCGUAAAGCGCGCGUAGGUGGUUUGUUAAGUUGGAUGUGAAAUCCCCGGGCUCAACCUGGGAACUGCAUUCAAAACUGACUGACUAGAGUAUGGUAGAGGGUGGUGGAAUUUCCUGUGUAGCGGUGAAAUGCGUAGAUAUAGGAGGGAACACCAGUGGCGAAGGCGACCACCUGGACUGAUACUGACACUGAGGUGCGAAAGCGUGGGGAGCAAACAGGAUUAGAUACCCGUGUAGUCCCUGAGCGGGCUGGCAAGGCGCAU
rnacentral:rRNA from 1 species